GAAAGCCAUGUCCUAGUUUAAGCAGGGACUGAGACUCAGCCCUGCUUGGUACCUCAUUUAGAGCCCUUAGGGGAGAGAUCUGAUCUCCCAUGGAAUCUCUAACAUCUUCGUUCAGCUGCAUUUCCUCUGCUCGUUUUCCCCCACUGGAAACAAGAACGAGCAUAACAAAGGUUUUUAUCCUCAAAUUUUACUGUAAUUAAAAUACAGAGAUGCAGAAUAUUCCCAGAAACACACUGCAAAACAAACCAAGCAAACAAAUUCAGUAAGAAACCAAUUACAGACAAUGAAAUGAUAAAGAACAAAAGUGUUCUCUGGAGCCCAGCACCGUGCAUGGGACUAUGUGGUCACAGUGACGGCUUAGGGUUUCCAAAGGACUCUCAGGCUCACACAGAGGCAGAGAUGGGCCCCGGCAUCCUGUCCCAGCAGCUAAAUGACCCACCCAUAGGAACAAGAGCCAACAAGGGAAUCCAGAGGAAAAGAAGUGGGUUAAGUUUUUCCACACACAAAACACAACUGGAAAAAGGGAUGGAAGACGUGCACUUCUCUCACAGCCAAGGGAGCUGCAGGAGCAGAGUCACCCUCUCUGCCCUCCCAGCCAUAAUAAAGGUCUUAGUAGGAGCUUUGGAGAGCUGGAUCUGGGGGCACGACAAAAAGCUAAGAAAACUAAGUAAAUGAUAAUUAAAUGAACAACGGAAAAAGGGAGGAAAGGAAGUGCCUGUGGGUUCUCCUCUCGGCUGCCUUGGGGCAUAGAGAUCCCCCACUGGGGCAGGGCCCAGAGCUGCUUGAAGGCCACAUCCCAGUCCCCCGACAGGAACAGAAUCUAGCACAUGGCAAAAGCUAGGGUGAGGCAUAAGCAGGGAGCUGAUCUGGCCCACGGACCAUCCAUUGGGCAUCCUGAUCUAGCUACUUGGAAACGUCUAGUAUUUGUCACUACUAUGGAAGCAGGAUAUCAGCCAGGAGUGGAACAACAUACACCAAAACCUACAUUCUUCUACUUUUUUUCCCCCUACAUUCUUCCAUAAGACAAAUUCCAUCACAUUAAUCCCACAAUUCAGAGGCUGUCCUAGGAAAUAAAUUCCCCUCCACACUCCUCCUUUUCUUGCUC
rnacentral:lncRNA from 1 species